rnacentral:misc_RNA from 1 species
GAUGAAGAACGCAGUGAAAUGCGAUAAGUAAUGUGAAUUGCAGAAUUCAGUGAAUCAUCGAAUCUUUGAACGCACAUUGCGCCCGCCAGUAUUCUGGCGGGCAUGCCUGUUCGAGCGUCAUUUCAACCCUCAAGACCCCUUCGGGGGACUUGGUGUUGGGGACCGGCACAGGGGCCUGCCUGCUUGUCUUGCAGCGCCCUCGCCGCCCCCGAAAUGAAUUGGCGGCCUCGUCGCGGCCUCCCCUGCGUAGUAGCACAACCUCGCAACGGGAACGUGACGGCGGCCACUGCCGUAAAACAACCCAAUUUUAUUAGAGUUGACCUCGAAUCAGGUAGGAAUACCCGCUGAACUUAAGCAUAUCAAUAAGCGGAGGA